CAUUACUGAAACAAUGUAUAGAUUUCAGACUAGGAAAGUAACUAUUUAUAAAAGAAAAGCUUAAAACCUGAAACAGAAACAAAAUCCUGAAACUGUAAAAUUGAGUCAAACUAAAAUUUAAAAAACAAAGCAAUGAUAUAAAGUAUCAUUUGUCCAAAUGUGUUCUACAAAAUGCUUUUUUCUUAAAUAUGUCUGAGGAAAAACAGGUUCUAGGAGUAAAAUAUGUUUGAAAAAUGCUGAGUUAAACAACUGAACCUAUGAAGGAAGGAAUAGAACUUCUCAAGCUCUUGACUCUGGAAUCUUUUUUACAUGGCAAUUAACACCAUGCUUCUUCUUGGAUUUGUAUUUCAGAUAAACACAAUCUGGGAAACAUUUUAUAAUACAGAGGGCCACACCAGAUUGAAUAUUGCCCCCAGGAAUGAAAUGAAAACAGGAAUGGAUUCUCCAGUAAGAGUUGUUUGAAUCGGUGGAUGCAGAACCCAUGAAUAUGGAGAGUCAAUUGCAUUUUAUUAUGCCCAAAGGUUCAUUAUACACCAUGGAAUACUAUGCAGCCAUAAAAAAUGAUGAGUUCAUGUCCUUACUAGGGACAUGGAUGAAGCUGGAAACCAUCAUUCUCAGCAAACUAUCACAAGGACAAAAAACCAAACACCGCAUGUUCUCACUCAUAGGUGGGAAUUGAACAAUGAGAACACUUGGACACAGGAAGGGGAACAUCACACACCAGGGCCUGUUGUGGGGUGGGGGGAGGGGGGAGAGAUAGCAUUAGGAGAUAUGCCUAACAUAAAUGAUGAGUUAAUGGGUGCAGCACACCAACAUGGCACACGUAUACAUAUGCAACAAACCUGCACAUUGUUCAUGUGUACCCUAGAAUUUAAAGUAUAAAAAAAAUAAAAAAAUAAAGAAAGAAAUAGAUGUUCUGUAAAAAUAUACACAAUUUUUACAAAUACAUUUAUAAGUUGUUUUAUCUUGAAAAUUGGGGAUAUUUCAUAUUUAUAACUAACUAUUGAGCCUUAAGUUUUCUUGGCCAUUUCUAGGCUAAUAAACUAAGAAUCAUGUAAACUAAGCCAAAGUAGAAUAGACAUAAAAGUCCUGAACACUUCAACUUCCUAUCCUUCAAGAAGUAUACCUCGCAAAGCUCAUUUGAGAGAGGAAAAGCUUUCCUCCACCCUCAGUUUUACAGUGCUGAGGCUUCUCAUCACAUUUCUAUGACUUGUAGCUUAAAUCCAUGUUACAUGGUCACUGGCAUUGUUAGUGCUUCUCUUUUAACACUGUAGGAAUUAAUCAAUUUGGUGGCAUAUUUAAUUAAUUCUAUCACUAGAGGAUUGUAAAAUUACAUAUAUGAAUACCUCACUUUAGAGGCCACUUAAUUUUUUUCCAAGGGGAUAUUUGACUAUAUUUCACUUGUGUGUUAUUUAAUGAUUUUAUAAUUUAAACCCUAAAUUAUAAAUCUAGAAUUUAGAAAGUAUAUUUCCCCACUGGAUUACAUUUUUGGAAAUAUUACUUUAUAUGUGCACAAAUAUUACAAAAUCACUGUAGACACCUGAAAACUAUAUUAUCUUUUAAAGACAAUAUUUACAUUAAACUGGUAUAACAAAAUUGUUUGGUGCAUUUUUUCCAGUACAUUUUGUGUAUAUUACAUGUUUAACCUUUUUUUAUUCAGCAAAUAAUUUUUGAGUAUCUACUAAGUGCUAGGUUCUGCAUUACUAACUGAAUUUAAAGAGUGAAAUAACAGACAUGGUCUCAGACAAUAAAAAUUAACAUUAGGUCACUUAUUUAUAUAUUUUUAAAUGGUAAUUAUGAAAACUUUUUGAGAUUUUUAACUAGAUAACAUUAUAAUAACGCACUUGAUGUUGUUAAUAUUUGCCAGUGAGCAAAAAAGAAAAUAAAAAGAUGGUUUUAUUCAAUAUACACUUUAAAAUUGCAGAAAAUAGUCAAGUUUCUCUGCUUUGCAGUUGAAUGUCUAUGUGUUUUUCUCUGCAACUUGGCUUUUGUGGAGUGAAACAAUUAUUCUUCCAGCCCAAUGAAGGCAGAAGAGUAACAAUAAAUCUAAUAUUUUAAAUGCUUAUCAAAAGAUAGUAAACACAUUAUUUCAGAAUACUGAGUUCAAUAAGUUGACCUACAAAAAAAGCCAAACUGACAGUAUUACUGAAUAAGGAAAGGCCCAAAGAGACAAAAUACUUUUUAUUUUGUAACCUCGGUAUGACACAACUUACCCUAACUAUAAAGACCCUAAAUUACCAAGAUGGGUGCUUAUAAUAUGGAGAGUUACAAAGUCAUUUCACUUUUAGCUUUUUUAUUUCUCUCAGAAUAAAAAGUGUAUAAGGAGUUGAUAAAGAAGUUGAUACUAUAAGUUAGUACUACAAUGACAGCACUUUUCAAGAAAAGACUUUUUUCUCUCUUACAAAUAUCAUGUUAGCAGUAUUUGUUUUCUCCAGAAAUAAUGAGUAAAUAAAAACAUAAGUAUGUGGGUAAUUAGUGUAGUUUCUUAAAUAAAUGAGUUAGGCAACAGGCUAAUAAUGUAUAUUUCACUGGCUUUUCAAUGCCAACAAUCAUAUUCUUUAUAAGGCACAGAGAAGAUUUUUCUAAAGAAUAAGUAUGUGAACCUGAAAAGUAAUCACCACUUGGUAGUGACAAUAUGGAUAGGGUGAAGGGCAUCACCAAGAAGCAAUGAAAAGAUACAUUUGCAGUUAAAUUUGAAAACCAUGAUGUUUAAUACAUAUAGUAAUAAAGAAUACUUUCUCCUGUCUCAAAAUUAUUUUAGAAUUUAAGAUAGAAGCUAAAAUACCUAGGGAUAAUGAUAUGACUAUCAAAAAUUAAAAAUUAAAGGAUAUUUUGAGUAUUAUAAAUUAAGAAUGAGAACUUAUUACCCAAUGAACAGGGGAUAAUUCAUUAUGCUCCAUAUCCAUUGAAUUAAAAGACAGGCCCAUUACCUGGAUAAUUUGAAAGUUUAAUUUUAUUUAAAAGUCUUGUUUCAUUCAUCAAGCUGAAGGAUUAGCUCCCAGAAAUAUUCCAGGAUUGCAUAUCCCCAACUCUGUAGGAAGUAUAGAAAGAAUGUUAUAAGGGCCACCAUCUAAACAUUAUUAUAUAAAUAAUUUAGUACCAUUCCAUUUGCCUUUGUAGAUUUAAAAAUGUAAAUGGCUUUCUCAUAUUAGGAAACAUCACUUUUCAAAACCCAGGUAAACACAGUAUAUUGCAAGAGAAUAAUUAUUUUCUUUAUUAAAAAAGAAAUACUGGAUGCUAAGUCCAAAAGACAUAAAUUAUUUUAUACUAAUAACUACUAAUAUUUUAUUCAUUAAAAUAUAAAGGUCAAAGAUUUCAAAAUGAUCUUUAAAUGAUUAAUAACAUGUUGAUCUUUUUCUUCUUUCUGUAAACCUUUUUGAGUCUUAACAACACUAAACUAUGCAAGCAAUAUUAAAUAGUAUAUAAACUUGGAUUAAAAUAUUCAAAUUUACUAGAAUGUGGACAUUGGAAAGAAUGAAAAUAAACAGAAGCAAAAAGCAGCAGAUAUAAAAUUAAGAAAGCAACUAAGAGUGUUUAAAGUGCAUAUUCAUCUGUAGUCUAAUGUCUACCAUAAACAAUGACUCUUCUCAGUAAAACACAAAUUGUUCAUGAAGGGAAAAAGCAUGUUGUAUUAGAGCAUAUUCAACAUAAUUUUUUUAGUACUAACUUGUGCCUGGAGUAUUAUUGGUUUUUCUAUUAAGAACUUAUGCACUUGAUAAUUUUUUUCAUCAAAAUUGUAUGUACAACUCCAUUCAAAAGCAGUUUUUGGUCGUUUUUUUUUUUUUUUUUUUGAGACAGAGUUUUGCUCUUUUCACCCAGGCUGGAGGGCAAUGGUGAGAAUUUGGCUCACAGCAACCUAGCAACUUUUGCCUCCCAGGUUCAGGUGAUUCUCUUGCCUCAGCCUCUCGAGUGGUUAGGACUACAAGC
rnacentral:lncRNA from 10 species